rnacentral:rRNA from 1 species
UAGAGUUUGAUCCUGGCUCAGAGCGAACGCUGGCGGCAGGCCUAACACAUGCAAGUCGAACGAACUCUUCGGAGUUAGUGGCGGACGGGUGAGUAACACGCUGGGUAACGUGCCUUUAGGUUCGGAAUAACUCAGGGAAACUUGUGCUAAUACCGAAUGUGCCCUUCGGGGGAAAGAUUUAUCGCCUUUAGAGCGGCCCGCGUCUGAUUAGCUAGUUGGUGAGGUAAAGGCUCACCAAGGCGACGAUCAGUAGCUGGUCUGAGAGGAUGAUCAGCCACAUUGGGACUGAGACACGGCCCAAACUCCUACGGGAGGCAGCAGUGGGGAAUCUUGCGCAAUGGGCGAAAGCCUGACGCAGCCAUGCCGCGUGAAUGAUGAAGGUCUUAGGAUUGUAAAAUUCUUUCACCGGGGACGAUAAUGACGGUACCCGGAGAAGAAGCCCCGGCUAACUUCGUGCCAGCAGCCGCGGUAAUACGAAGGGGGCUAGCGUUGCUCGGAAUUACUGGGCGUAAAGGGAGCGUAGGCGGACAUUUAAGUCAGGGGUGAAAUCCCGGGGCUCAACCUCGGAAUUGCCCUUGAUACUGGGUGUCUUGAGUAUGAGAGAGGUGUGUGGAACUCCGAGUGUAGAGGUGAAAUUCGUAGAUAUUCGGAAGAACACCAGUGGCGAAGGCGACACACUGGCUCAUUACUGACGCUGAGGCUCGAAAGCGUGGGGAGCAAACAGGAUUAGAUACCCUGGUAGUCCACGCCGUAAACGAUGAUUGCUAGUUGUCGGGAUGCAUGCAUUUCGGUGACGCAGCUAACGCAUUA